AGUACCUACUGCUACCCUGCACUUCUCCACUCAAAACCCAACCCUCAACAAGAGAUCAUCUUCAGAGAUAAGUUAUUUCUCAAGUCCCAGUUGGCCAAACAGAAGAUACUGAAAUGGAAGACUCGGCACAAUCCAGAGCAACUCCCACAAUUGAAUUGCAUGGCGAUGAAUUCUGGCCACUUUCAGGGAAACCUUUCUUUGAUAUCAUAUUCACAAAAUCCCAUGUCAAACCCCUUUACCAAAUGGAGAUCCCAGCCAAACUUGAUCCAGUAUUACCUGCUGGUGCUUCAGUCCCCAUGGUUCUCAACUUUGGGGACAAGAGCUGGGAGAUGACAUAUAAUGAAACAAAACGUCUCAAAUUAAUGGAUCGACACUCGUGGAGAGCAUUCGUCGAUGACAACAGUCUGAAGGCUGGAGAUGGAUGUAUUUUCGAACUCACUGGAUGUGACAC